AAAGAUUUGGUAGAAACAUCUGUUUAAGACUGCAGGAAAAGCAGAGUAGUAUGGUCUACCCAUCUCACUCUCCUCCUUCAUCAGGUGACAUGGUUGCUACUUGCUACUAGUGUAAAUAAUGUUGUUUCAAUGCAACAAGAUCACACAACAGUGUAAAAAACCUGCUAGCUUGGUGAUGUGACUCAUACCAAAUCAACAUUGCUCAUCUGAACCACCCUGAACUAUAGAAACAAACAGGCAGCAAGAGGAAACUCCAAUCUGUACACUGAGAAAAUGUCUUCAUCCAGAUUCCAUCCCAUUUUAGGCUGCAUAACAGAAUUCGAAAAAGUCCCAAAAUGGUAAAGAAAAACAUAUUUUCUAUGUUUCUGCCUAGUUUCCCUUUUCAGACAGGAUACAGUGUCUUACAGUACCUCUCCAGGCACUCCAUGUCUGACCUCUGAACAACUACAAAGUCUUGUUUACUGAACACAGUUAGCAGACACACCCAGGUUAAGGUGAGGGGUGUUCAGAGCAGGCGCCAUAUAAACAGUUGACCUAACAACAUAAAACAUAAAACAGAGGAAUCAAGACUGAGUGUAGAGUAGGAACAGACCAUAGAGUUCAAAGUGUUCCACUCCACCUCCAGUCAAGCCCAUCCAAACAACACCAACACAACAACACUUCAGGGAGGAAAGAGUUGGGAAGAGGAGAGAAACACAACAAUGAGCAGGCUCUCCCAGCUCUCCCAGCUGGAGGUUUUAAACAGUGAGAGGGGACUGUGCUAUUACUCUCUCCCAGCUGGAGGUUUUAAACAGUGAGAGGGGACUGUGCUAUUACUCUCUCCCAGCUGGAGGUUUUAAACAGUGAGAGGGGACUGUGCUAUUACUCUCUCCCAGCUGGAGGUUUUAAACAGUGAGAGGGGACUGUGCUAUUACUCUCUCCCAGCUGGAGGUUUUAAACAGUGAGAGGGGACUGUGCUAUUACUCUCUCCCAGCUGGAGGUUUUAAACAGUGAGAGGGGACUGUGCUAUUACUCUCUCCCAGCUGGAGGUUUUAAACAGUGAGAGGGGACUGUGCUAUUACUCUCUCCCAGCUGGAGGUUUUAAACAGUGUGUGGGGACUGUGCUAUUACUCUCUCCCAGCUGGAGGUUUUAAACAGUGUGUGGGGACUGUGCUAUUACUCUCUCCCAGCUGGAGGUUUUAAACAGUGAGAGGGGACUGUGCUAUUACUCUCUCCCAGCUGGAGGUUUUAAACAGUGAGAGGGGACUGUGCUAUUACUCUCUCCCAGCUGGAGGUUUUAAACAGUGAGUGGGGACUGU